GACAGAGGGUGCAAACGUUGUUCGGAAUUACUGGGCGUAAAGCGAGUGUAGGCGGUCUGAUAAGUCGGGUGUGAAAGCCCUGGGCUCAACCCAGGAAGUGCACUCGAAACUGCCAGGCUAGAGUAUCGGAGAGGUUGGUGGAAUUCUCGGUGUAGAGGUGAAAUUCGUAGAUAUUCGCAAGAACACCAGUGGCGAAGGCGGCUCACUGGCCCGAUACUGACGCUGAGGCACGAAAGCGUGGGGAGCAAACAGG
rnacentral:rRNA from 1 species